rnacentral:rRNA from 1 species
UAGGGAAUCUUCGGCAAUGGACGAAAGUCUGACCGAGCAACGCCGCGUGAGUGAAGAAGGUUUUCGGAUCGUAAAACUCUGUUGUUAGAGAAGAACAAGGACGUUAGUAACUGAACGUCCCCUGACGGUAUCUAACCAGAAAGCCACGGCUAACUACGUGCCAGCAGCCGCGGUAAUACGUAGGUGGCAAGCGUUGUCCGGAUUUAUUGGGCGUAAAGCGAGCGCAGGCGGUUUCUUAAGUCUGAUGUGAAAGCCCCCGGCUCAACCGGCGAGGGUCAUUGGAAACUGGGAGACUUGAGUGCAGAAGAGGAGAGUGGAAUUCCAUGUGUAGCGGUGAUAUGCGUAGAUAUAUGGAGGAACACCAGUGGCGAAGGCGGCUCUCUGGUCUGUAACUGACGCUGAGGCUCGAAAGCGUGGGGAGCAAACAGG